rnacentral:rRNA from 1 species
CCUACGGGCGGCAGCAGUGGGGAAUAUUGCACAAUGGGCGCAAGCCUGAUGCAGCCAUGCCGCGUGUGUGAAGAAGGCCUUCGGGUUGUAAAGCACUUUCAGCGGGGAGGAAGGCGGUGAGGUUAAUAACCUCAUCGAUUGACGUUACCCGCAGAAGAAGCACCGGCUAACUCCGUGCCAGCAGCCGCGGUAAUACGGAGGGUGCAAGCAUUAAUCGGAAUUACUGGGCGUAAAGCGCACGCAGGCGGUCUGUCAAGUCGGAUGUGAAAUCCCCGGGCUCAACCUGGGAACUGCAUUCGAAACUGGCAGGCUAGAGUCUUGUAGAGGGGGGUAGAAUUCCAGGUGUAGCGGUGAAAUGCGUAGAGAUCUGGAGGAAUACCGGUGGCGAAGGCGGCCCCCUGGACAAAGACUGACGCUCAGGUGCGAAAGCGUGGGGAGCAAACAGGAUUAGAUACCCGAGUAGUC